GAAAGUAAACAAGGGCGCAUGGAGGAUGCCUAGGCUCUCGGAGGCGAAGAAGGACGUGAUAAGCUGCGAAAAGUUACGGUAAGGCGCAAAUAGCCCUAGACCCGUAAAUAUCCGAAUGGGGCAACCCGGCCAGCAAUGGCCAUACCGCCAAGCGGUAAGCCAACGCGGGGAACUGAAACAUCUAAGUACCCGCAGGAAAAGAAAAUAACAAUGAUUCCGCCAGUAGUGGCGAGCGAACGCGGAACAGCCCAAACCACUCGUGUUACGGCACGAGUGGGGUAGAAGGAUCCACGCCACGGCAAGAAAUAAGUUAGCAGAAUACGAUGGAAAUCGUAGCCAAAGACGGUGACAGCCCAGUACGCGAAAACCGACAGAAGCCCAGUGGACACCUGAGUAACCCAGGACACGAGAAAUCCGGGGCGAAUCAGCGGGGCCCAUCCCGUAAGGCUAAAUACUCCCGAGAGACCGAUAGCGAACCAGUACUGUGAAGGAAAGGUGAAAAGAACCUCGAACAGAGGAGUGAAACAGACCCUGAAACCAUGCGCCUACAAGCGGUCGGAGCAUGUUAAAAUGUGACGGCGUGCCUUUUGCAUAAUGAACCUACGAGUUACUCUCGCUGGCAAGGUUAAGCGAUUCAGUCGCGCAGCCGAAGCGAAAGCAAGUCCGAAUAAGGCGUACAGUCAGCGGGAGUAGACGCGAAACCAAGUGAUCUACCCUUGGUCAGGUUGAAGGUUGGGUAACACCAACUGGAGGACCGCACCGAUAAGCGUUGAAAAGCUUACGGAUGAACUGAGGGUAGGAGUGAAAGGCCAAUCAAACUUGGAGAUAGCUCGUACUCCCCGAAAUGCAUUUAGGUGCAGCCUCGAAGCAGAGUGAUAGAGGUAGAGCGACUGAUAAGAUGCGAGGGCUUCACCGCCUAUCAAGUCUUGACAAACUCCGAAUACUAUCACUUGAUCUUUGGGAGUGAGGGCAUGGGUGCUAAGGUCCAUGUCCGAAAGAGGAACAACUCAGACCACCAGCUAAGGUCCCGAAAUAAGGGCUAAGUUGAAUAAACGAAGUAAAACUGCAAAGACAGCUAGGAUGUUGGCUUGGAAGCAGCCAUUCAUUUAAAGAGUGCGUAACAGCUCACUAGUCGAGGAGUUUUGCAUGGAUAAUAAUCGGGCAUAAGCCCUUUACCGAAGCUGUGGAUGUCGUAAGACAUGGUAGGGGAGCAUUCCGGCGGCGACGAAGGCCGUCCUCGAGGACGACUGGAGCUUUCGGAAAAGCAAAUGUAGGUAUAAGUAACGAUAAAGGGGGCGCGAAACCCCCUCGCCAUAAGACUAAGGAUUCCUGAUCAACGCUAAUCGGAUCAGGGUAAGUCGGGCCCUAAGGCGCAGCCGAACGGCGUAGCCGAUGGAAGAAACGGUAAAGAUUCCGUUACUGGAUAUAGGAGCGAUGUGGAGACGGAGAAGUGACACACCCGCCUGCCGACGGAAGCGCAGGUUAAAGGAAGUAGGUAAACGCCGGGUAGGCAAAUCCGCCUGGCGUGCCGAAACUGACAGUAUCGAGAGCCCCCGGGCAAUCGAAUAGCGGUGGUAAUCAGGCUCCCAAGAAAAUCCGCUAAGCAUAUUCUAUAUCCACCCGUACCCCAAACGGACACACGUAGUCGGGUAGAAUAUACCAAGGCGCUCGAAAGACUCACGGUUAAGGAACUAGGCAAAUUGACCCUGUAACCUCGGGAAAAAGGGUCCCCAGUAAGAUGGGGCGCAGAGAAUAGGUCCAGGCAACUGUUUAACAAAAACACAGGGCUGUGCAAAAUUUCAAGAUGAAGUAUACAGCCUGACACCUGCCCGGUGCCGGAAGGUUAAGAGGAGAGCUUAUCGCAAGAGAAGGCUUGAAUUGAAGCCCCGGUAAACGGCGGCCGUAACUAUAACGGUCCUAAGGUAGCGAAAUUCCUUGUCGGGU
rnacentral:rRNA from 1 species